CUCGUAGGUGGCCAUCUAAGUCAGACGUGAAAUCCCUCGGCUUAACCGGGGAACUGCGUCUGAUACUGGAUGGCUUGAGUGUGGGAGAGGGAUGCGGAAUUCCAGGUGUAGCGGUGAAAUGCGUAGAUAUCUGGAGGAACACCGGUGGCGAAGGCGGCAUCCUGGACCACGACUGACGCUGAGUGAGCGAAAGCCAGGGGAGCAAACG
rnacentral:rRNA from 1 species